GAUUCGUGAGAUUUUCGCGGUGUAGUGUUUCGUUCGUUUUAAAUGUUGAAAAAUAUACCAAGAAAUGUUUGAAUGUCCGCUGAGCAUCACCCAACUACCACCCACCGCCCACCGGACAGCUAGCAACCACACCACACAGUUCCGCUACUCACCACCAGACAUCGCAGGCUUAAGGAUAAGGCGGCCAUGAGGGGUGGCGUAUAAGGAGCCAUGAUGGGGCGAAUUUAGUCAAAGCGGGAAAAUCUUGGUCGGGGAGUCUGAAAAGGUCAGACGCCAUUGCUACAGAUCACUACCAAACUGCAAGCCAAAUUGAGCAGACGUAUGAAAAAUUGUUGAGUGAAAAUUCCAAACUACUAAAGAAAAGUUCAUAGUGAGAGACAGUGGAGAGUAAGAAACAGUGGAGAAAGCUGACCAACGUAGAAUAUCCAGGACCCCUUGGUUUCUUGGUGUAGUCCUUGGAGUCCGUGUAGAGAGACCCGAAAGUCAUUGCGUGGACCUACCGGCUCCCAGUCAAGCGCAGUGCUCGACCCGAAACUGCGAACGUAGGACGGAACCCUAACGGGAGAGUACCGCCCACCACAGUGCCGUUACCAACUGUGAGUGCCGCCAUUUUGCCCGGAGCUUCGCGGCAUCGUCAAGCCAGCGACCGCGAACGCUCGGCAGUUAGGCCACGAACGGAAGCAAACGAGGAAGAGGAAGGAAGCCGUCGUAGUGUCGAGGGACGAAAGGAACGAGCCAGCGACGAGGAAGGAAAGUGGAGAAAGUGGUUGCGGAAAGGAAGAAGGGGCCCCGCCGACCGUAAAAGGGAAGAAGAAGCAGAUAGGAAGUUAAGGUAGGAGAUAGGCUGUAAGGAAGUGGGAGGAAUAUAGGUACCUGUGUGCAAAAAGUUUUAAUAAAGUGGCAGAAGUGUUUGCAAUUCGGUA